GCUAGCCCCUAUAUCUAAAUCUAUACCCGAACUCUUACCGAACUCGAGUGUCCUUAUUUAGAUAGCCACACAUACUACUUUUGUGGGAACCAUGGCUCAAAACAGUAAUCAUUUUUAUUUUUAACAGGGUUGC
rnacentral:rRNA from 17 species